GACGAACGCUGGCGGCGUGCUUAACACAUGCAAGUCGAACGAGUGGCGAACGGGUGAGUAAUACGUGGGUAACUGCCUGAUGGAGGGGGAUAACUACUGGAAACGGUAGCUAAUACCGCAUACCAUCAGAUGUGCCCAGAUGGGAUUAGCUAGUAGGUGGGGUAACGGCUCACCUAGGCGACGAUCCCUCGCUGGUCUGAGAGGAUGACCAGCAACACUGGAACGGGGACACGGUCCAGACUCCUCCGGGAGGCAUCAGUGGGGAAUAUUGCACAAUGGGCGCAAGCCUGAUGCAGCCAUGCCGCGUGUGUGAAGAAGGCCUUCGGGUUGUAAAGCACUUUCAGCGGGGAGGCGUUACCCGCAGAAGAAGCACCGGCUAACUCCGUGCCAGCAGCCGCGGUAAUUC
rnacentral:rRNA from 1 species